UACGUAGGGUGCAAGCGUUGUCCGGAAUUAUUGGGCGUAAAGAGCUCGUAGGCGGUUUGUCGCGUCUGCUGUGAAAACUCGGGGCUUAACCCCGGGUCGGCAGUGGAUACGGGCAGGCUAGAGGUAGGUAGGGGAGAAUGGAAUUCCCGGUGUAGCGGUGAAAUGCGCAGAUAUCGGGAGGAACACCGGUGGCGAAGGCGGUUCUCUGGGCCUUACCUGACGCUGAGGAGCGAAAGCGUGGGGAGCGAACAGG
rnacentral:rRNA from 1 species